GCCUGCAGCCCAAGUAGGAGAGCACACAUUGGGAGGCUCAACCGCCAUUUCCCUCUUGGCUCUCUAAGAGGGUGGGCAGAUCUGGAUUCUAAGCCAUUUCACAGCAAACACGCGUCUCUAACCACCAGCAUUGGCUUAAUUGGGGCUGCUUCCAAACCAGGUCCUCUCCUGCCUGCUACUUCCUAAAAAAGAAGCAAAACCACCGAGGAUUUUGCUGCAGGAUCCGAGGAAACCCCAGGCUUUGUCACUUGAGGAUGGGGUUCUCCAAAGAAACCCACGUAAGUCACUACAGACUGUUGCCAUGGGGACAGCAUACCCUCACAGGCAGCCAAAGGCAAGACUGAGGAUGGGUCAUGUGACCAGACGGCAGCCAGGACCAGGCAUGAUUUUGAAAAGAAAGCCAUAAGGAACCAGCUCCGGGGACAGACCAUAAAAUCCAGAAACAAGGUCCUAAAGCCCCCUCCCAAAGAACAGCCCGAGGAUAACCACAAAAAUGGAGAAAUAUCUUAUCUCAGAAAGGGCCAUCUGAGCUGGACAUUCUUUUUCAUCACAUAGUUGAACAUUCAUGACAUAGGAAUGCAGACCCAGGGAGUGAAUGUGCACAUAAUGACCUUUCUUGGACAAAAGCAGUAGAAGCAGAAAAUCGUCAACUGAAGUGAGCAGACUAAGGAUGGCUUGUGAGGGGUCCCUGGCAGUUUGAGAGAGAGAAUCCAAAAGAUGGAGAGAGUGGAAGCAUCAAAAGAUAAAACACGCAAGAGACACAGGAGAAGAGUUCUGGGGACCACAGGAGAAAGGGCAGAAAGGACAUCUGGCGAGCACGUGAAGGAAAGACAUCGCGCUAGCACGUGGAGGAGAAGACAGCGGGAGGGGGGCGGGGGGAAGCACGCGGAGGAGAGGACAUGGGGCGAGCGCGUGGAGGAGAGGAUAUUGGACGAGCGAGGGGAGGAGAGGACAUGGGGCGAGCAGGUGGAGAAGAGGCCAUUGGGUGAGCAUGUUGAAAGAACAUCUGGCGAGCGCUUGAAAGCAAGAAAGACAAGCGUAGGGCAGAAGGAGCGAGCAUGAGCGAGCAGUGCGCCAAGAGAAUGAGAAGGAUGGAGAGCUGUUCCUAGCAAAACCAGGGGAAGGGGGGACCUAAUAAGAAGCAAUUAGAAGGAAAGUGAAAAGACUUAUUCUAGGAGUUUGGUGUUAAAAAGCAAAUGAAGUGGAAAUUUUGUAAGUGUUAAACUCUACCCAAAAACAGUAUGAGGGGAAAUUUUCACACAGUAUAACUUAAAACAAGUAAAAAAAAAAAAAGUAUAACAAAUUUGUGUUUGGAUGAUAGAGCAUACAAGAUCAUAAUUAAAACACUUUACCAACGCUAAUUAAGGUAGGUAGGUCAAUGUUAUUGGCCUGUUUUUUGGUUUUUGUUUUGUUUUGUUUUGUUUUGUUUUAAGUAAAAACAGCCGUUGGAGUGGGAGAGCUCAGAGGCCUCAGCAGGCUCACCCAAGUGUGAACGUCAGGAAAGAACCGGGUAGUUGGACUGCUCAGAGACAGCUCCAGGGAAGAGGAAGCGCCUAAGAAAAUCUCCCGGGCACAAAGGGGAAAUACAAAUGAGCAAAAGACAGAUAAGGAACAUAAAAUGUAUUGUUUUUCUGAGAAACAUUCAAGGCUUUCAACGCACCAUCAUGUUCAGCUAGCUGCAUCCUAGAAGGGCCAGCGGGCAACUCCACUAAAGAAAGAGAACUCUAGAGUGAACCUCAAACUCAUGCUGGUUCCUGACUUAGACCCAGGGCCAGAGACAUUCAGAGACCCCAAAGGAGACCUUAGAAGUCCAGGAAUCCUGUGCUAGCUCAAGUAGAUGGCACAUCUCGGUGGCCUCUUCCUGACUUCCAUGCUUCCAAGCAUGAUGCGUCUUUAUAUGUAGGUAGGACUUCCAACAAUGCCACUAAAGCUUUGGACACUGGAGUCUCCUGGAUGCCCCCACGUUCUUGUGUCACAGCCAUUAACUCUGGAUUACAAAGAUCUAGACUAUAACCCCCUGGAGAUCAGAGCAGCCUUCCUUACUCCUUGAAUACAACCCCCAUCAAGAGGCCCAUUCUGGAAUAAUUGGCAAAUAAAUUUGGUGAUGGAAUAGAUACAUAAGUAAAUAUAUCUUUAUAAAUUAUAAAUUAUAAUUAUAUAUACACAUACAUAUUUGUUAUCGUUACAGUUGUUUUCAGUCUCAUAUUGAAGGACUUCAAUGACACCCCUGCGGACAGCCCUAGACACGACUGCAUAAGCGGACACCUGCUGGAGUGUUGGUGAAGGUCUGGGUUUGCCUCCUGGGCCAUGGACACGCCUGCUGAUGAUACUGAGGCUUCAUGGUGGCAAUGUUACAUUAGUGAGCAUGAGCAGUCUUCCAGGACAUAGAACCGAAAACAGGUUCCUGAGACAGAUGAGGAGUGGGAAGGUGGCUGAAAGUCAAGGAGCCGACGCCUCCGGGGACCCCCUAACCCAUUCGUCAGGGCAGAAAAGCUCCUCUAUUCAAGUGUUAGAAACCCAUUCUCCUAGUAAAAAGACAAAAAUAAUCAAUUGCUAGUGAUCUCUCAUGCCUCCCUCCCUCCUCUCUCAAUAGACAAAGAUAAUAGACAAGGGGCAAGUGAUAGAGGUGAUAGGUCAUUGUAGCACAGCACACGUCUGCUUAUUUAUGUUUCGUACUCUUCUAAGUGGGAUUGAUUCUGCGAAAUAACUUUUCAUUUUGACAUCACAAGGGCAACUGAGCUCUAGGUUCUUGAAGUAGCCACCCCCCCAGCCCCACCCACAGUGCUGCCCACAGUCACGGCCCC
rnacentral:lncRNA from 1 species